rnacentral:rRNA from 1 species
UUGCCCUGGGGCAGAGCCGCGAACGGGUGAGUAACACGUGGGUAACCUACCCCGAUGACCGGGACAACCCGAGGAAACUCGGGCUAAUACCGGAUGUGCUCGAUUCUCGUAAGGGAUUUGAGUAAAGAUAGCUUCGGCCUUCGUAUCGGGAUGGGCCCGCGGCCCAUUAGCUUGUUGGUGAGGUAACGGCUCACCAAGGCUGCGAUGGGUAGCUGGUCUGAGAGGACGAUCAGCCACACUGGGACUGAGACACGGCCAGACUCCUACGGGAGGCAGCAGUGGGGAAUCUUGCGCAAUGCGCGAAAGCGUGACGCAGCAACGCCGCGUGGGGGAAGAAGGCCUUCGGGUUGUAAACCCCUUUCAGUUGGGACGAAGCUUCGACGGUUAAUAGCUGUCUGUUGUGACGGUACCUUCAGAAGAAGCCCCGGCUAACUACGUGCCAGCAGCCGCGGUAAUACGGAGGGGGCUAGCGUUGUUCGGAAUUACUGGGCGUAAAGGGCGCGUAGGCGGCGCGAUAAGUUGGGCGUGAAAGGCCCGGGCUCAACCCGGGGACUGCGCUUGAUACUGUCGCGCUGUGAGUCCGGGAGAGGAUGGCGGAAUUCCAGUGUAGAGGUGACAUUCGUAGAUAUUGGGAAGAACACCGGUGGCGAAGGCGGCC